rnacentral:rRNA from 1 species
AACGCUAGCGGCAGGCCUAACACAUGCAAGUCGAGGGGUAACAGGUAGAAAGCUUGCUUUCUAUGCUGACGACCGGCGCACGGGUGAGUAACGCGUAUGCAACCUACCUUUAACAGGAGAAUAGCCCCGAGAAAUCGGGAUUAAUGCUCCAUAAAAUGUUUAGAUCGCAUGGUUUGAACAUUAAAGCUCCGGCGGUUAAAGAUGGGCAUGCGUGACAUUAGCUAGUUGGUACGGUAACGGCGUACCAAGGCAACGAUGUCUAGGGGUUCUGAGAGGAUUGUCCCCCACACUGGUACUGAGACACGGACCAGACUCCUACGGGAGGCAGCAGUGAGGAAAUAUUUGGUCAAUGGGUCGAGAGACUGAACCAGCCAUGCCGCGUGCAGGAUGACGGCGCUAUGCGUUGUAAACUGCUUUUCUACAGGAAGUAACUGUACUUACGUGUAAGUAUUUGACGGUACUGUAGGAAUAAGCACCGGCUAACUCCGUGCCAGCAGCCGCGGUAAUACGGAGGGUGCAAGCGUUAUCCGGAUUUAUUGGGUUUAAAGGGUGCGUAGGCGGAAUAAUAAGUCAGUGGUGAAAUCCUGCGGCUCAACCGUAGAACUGCCAUUGAUACUGUUAUUCUUGAAUGUAGUUGAGGUAGGCGGAAUGUGUAAUUGUUAGCGGUUGAAAUGCUUAGAUUUUACACAGAAACACCCGAUUGCGAAAGGCAGCUUGCUAAACUAUGAUUGACGCUGAUGCACGAAGCGUUGGGGGAGCGAACAGGAUUAGAUACCCUGGUAGUCCACGCUGUA